AGCCGAGCGGUGAGCACGGAGCGAACUAUUCUUUCGCCUUUUACUAAAGAAAACCGUGCGCUCGCCGCAGAUAUUGGCGUACGCCUAGUUUUGAAGGUGGGUACAUCAGUGAAUCCC